rnacentral:misc_RNA from 1 species
CUGGAACGCGCCCUGGCGCACCCAGAAACCCUUUGUGAACUCAUACCUUACUGUUGCCUCGGCGCAGGCCGGCCUCUCAGCUGAGGCCCCCCGGAGACGGGGAGCAGCCCGCCGGCGGCCAGCCAAACUCUUGUUUCUACAGUGAAUCUCUGAGUAAGAAAACAUAAAUGAAUCAAAACUUUCAACAACGGAUCUCUUGGUUCUGGCAUCGAUGAAGAACGCAGCGAAAUGCGAUAAGUAAUGUGAAUUGCAGAAUUCAGUGAAUCAUCGAAUCUUUGAACGCACAUUGCGCCCUCUGGUAUUCCGGAGGGCAUGCCUGUUCGAGCGUCAUUUCAACCCUCAAGCCUGGCUUGGUGUUGGGGCACUGCCUGUGAGAGGGCAGGCCCUGAAAUCUAGUGGCGAGCUCGCCAGGACCCCGAGCGUAGUAGUUAUAUCUCGUUCUGGAAGGCCCUGGCGGCGCCCUGCCGUUAAACCCCCAACUUCUGAAAUU